CUUCCCCUUUCUCCCCGCCGUCUUCUCUCUCGCGACGCCGCACCCUCCCCGCCAGCCCCUCGCUUCCUUCUCCACCUUCUCACGCCCCCUCCCCAACCGAUCCAAGAUACGAAAACAAUCCUCCUCUCCCCCCUCGAUCGAUCGAUCCCGACCGGCUGCGGCGGCGAUGGAUCUCUCUGGCGGGGCCGGCAGCGGCGCGACACUGUCGGAGAUGUACCAGAGCACGCGGCGGCUGCAGGGAAAGGGAGCCGCCGCGACCCAGCACCGGCGGGCUCCCCUCGCUCUCCGAGCUAGGAGGUAGUCUGCUUCUCCACGGUCGCGCGCUCACGCUGGUAGAGGAGCCACCCUACUUCUUCACCGGCAAUGACGCGGUCGUGCCCCCCGAAGCCUCUCGUCCGCGUCCGAUGCCAUACAAGAGAUGAUGACUGCUGUCGUCCUCCGCUCCUAUUGGCCGCAGCCGCCCCGCCCCCGCCUCUGAGGUCAAGGUCGACGCGGUGGAGAACGAGGAGGUCAUCGCGCACGCCCUGCAGGAGGAGCUCGCGCAGGUCGCCAUGGCCUACGGCGGGGAGGCCGAGCACCGUGCCACCGUCCUCGCGCAGUAGUGGUUCCGUCCCGAGGUCGUCAGAGCAAUAUUCCUCAUACAAAGCUGGUGGAGUACAAGGGGCACCAGAACUGGGUUAAUGUCUCGGGGAGCACCUGGAGCACCUGGUCUUUCCCGGAGGCGGAACUCAGUUCAAGCAUCAUGCUCUGCAUUACAUUGAUUUCAUUCAGGAGGCAAAGAAAGAUGUGGCAUGGGGAAAACUGACCUGUGUAGUUCUAGACGCAGGCAAAGAAAGGUGUGGGAUUAGGCCAGAGGUGGCCGGAUCUGGGAAAGGUAAGCCCCU